GGGGUAUUAGCUCAGUUGGUAGAGCAGUUGACUCUUAAUCAUCAGGUCGUAGGUUCAAACCCUACAUGCCCCA
rnacentral:tRNA from 1 species